UACGUAGGGGGCAAGCGUUGUCCGGAAUCAUUGGGCGUAAAGAGCGCGUAGGCGGCCAGAUAAGUCCGGUGUGAAAGUCCCAGGCUCAACCUGGGAAUGCCGUCGGAAACUGUCUGGCUAGAGUCCGGAAGGGGCCAGUGGAAUUCCCGGUGUAGCGGUGAAAUGCGCAGAUAUCGGGAGGAACACCAAUGGCGAAGGCAGCUCGCUGGGACGGAACUGACGCUGAGGCGCGAAAGCGUGGGGAGCGAACAGG
rnacentral:rRNA from 1 species